rnacentral:siRNA from 1 species
UUACAUCUACAGCACCUUGGCCUA